AAUGGAAUUGGAAUUAAUUUAUAUCGAUCAUUUUUAAUAUAAAAACUGUAAAGAAAAUAUAGCUAAAAAUUACAAAAAUUGUUCUGGAUUUCAAAUGUUUUCAGAUUUUAAAAAUGUUCUUAAUAUAAUUUUAAACCAUACUUUAAGAUAUUCUUAUUAUAGCGAAUUGUGUCUUUUUAGGAAAUGAAGGGAAAAAAUAGAAAUAAAAACAGCAAGAAAAAUGUAUUUCAUUUCGGAAACACGACGAACAAAAUGUACCAAUAAUUUUUUUCAGAAGAAUCUUUGAUAAUUGUAUCUUAAAGACCAGAAUGAAAGGAACUUUUUUAAAGAUUUUCAAACAAUAAAAAAAAUCUUUUUACAUAUAUAUAUUUUUUUGUAUGUUUGAUAUAUAUUUUACGUGUAUUUAAACACAAAUUUUUUUCUGAUAAAAAUUUCAAUUGUAUUAGAAGAAUAUAAGUUGAGAAGAGAUGGCAAAAUUCUUAAAAUUUUAUUUUGUUCAAAUUUUAUUAUACUUACCUAUAAAAUACUUACCUUUUAUAAUACUUACCAGCUGCCAUUUUUUAAGAACAUUUUUCUUUUUCUUUUUUUUUUUUUCAGUUUUCUUCUACGGAUACUUACCGUUUGCAUACUUAUUUCUUUUUUAGAAUUGCCUUUUUCGCAACAUGAAAUAUUCUUUUAUCAUUUUCCUAAUAGAAUAUUUCAGGAAUUUACAAAGUAAAUAUUGAAUAAAAACUUCCAUCAUAUCCAUGGAAUUAUUCGCAAAACAAAGUUCAUCUCGUUGCAAAUUCCCAGACUCCCAAAAUCCACGCAGCGCUACUCCGGAUCGAUUAAGGAGAAAAUUAGAUCUAGAGGACCGUUAUUGCACCACGAUUACCAAUAUUGUAGUAUGCAUCGAUAAUCGAAUGGAUUCCCUGUCUAUCGAUUUUCGCUGAUGCAUCGAUAUUUCGUCAUUUGCCCGUUAAAUAUGCGUCCGUGCCUUUGUAAAGCCAUAUCUUUCGUUGGAUUGUUGCGUCAAAUGCAAUUCAUUCCGCGCGAUUGAUUCACCAUUGAAAAACUGUGUUGCAGUAUGCUUUGCCUUUCGGAAAGUAAUUAACAAGCAGGCUAGCGUGCAUUUAUUUAUUCCGGAAAUAUUCUGUUCGGGGAACAAGCGUGAAAUGCGAUCGGUCCUUGUCAUGUUGAGAUCACAGGAAUCGAACGUGAUGGAGCGGAAUUGAAAUAUAUACACAGGGAGUUUGGCUAUAGGUAUUUAAAAAAAAAAAAAAAAAGAAGCCAAAAUAAAAUGGCUGUCAAGAAUAAAAAUAAAAGGAUAAAAGGACUUUAGUUAUUAACGAUUGAAAAUAGACGAAGAUAUACUUGAGAGCGAGGAGAUGUUUCAGGUAAUUUUUUUUAUUUUUGAUUUUUGUCUUAUUUUGAAUUAAAACAUCGCCCUUUAAAUUUUUAUAUUACGCUUUUGCACGGUUCGAGUGGAAAUUCCGCUGAAUGCGGCUGGCUGGUUGCAUAGCCGAUAUAACUGAUGCAGGGGAAGAACGAAUACACGCGAUAGAACUGCAAUAUUGGAUAGAUUUGUAAUACACGAGGGAUUCAGAACAAUCAGCCACAUAAAAUGUUGGUUUUAAAUGUUAAAAAUCAAAUGUCAUGAGAUUUGCGAAUCUGUAUUAUUUUAUCCUAAGUUAAUUUCAUGUGGAUAAUAUUUCAAAGAUAUAUUUGGGAAUAGCCAAUAUGUGUAAUAUCAGGUCCUGAAAUUUAAGACCUAAGCAUAGAAAGAACAAACGCCUUGUCCUCUCAAUUCUUCUUAAAGCGCAUAAAAUAGGACAAAGAGAAAGCGCAAGAAAAAAGUUAAAGGAGUUAUUUUCUGAGAUUUAUAGCGCAAAGAUAAAAAAUCAAUUUUUGCACGCUUUAAUUAUCAGCUUUUCGUAGAGCGCAUAUAGAAAGACUACAAUAUAAAGAAAUUUAAACUAAAAGUUUUAAACAUGGAAAGGCUAGACUUUACAUUAUUUCAUACAACGAUUAAUUUCUAAGACACAUGAAAAAUUCUAAAGAACCAUAUCUCAAUAUCUGAAAUUAUAUAGCUAAAAUAGGAAGGUUAACCUUUGAACGGUUGAUUCAGCUACCAGUGCACGUAAGAUAAGAUAAGCCGCAAGAAAGAAGGCAGAGAAGUCUAAAAUUUAGGACCCAAGUAUAGGCAAACAUAGGGAAAGCCAAGAAGAUCCCAAAAUUUAUGGCCUUAACAUAGGAAGACCAAUCUUGCACGGUUGAUUCAACAACCAAUUUCGCUUAGAGCGCAAAAUUGAAGCUAGAGAAUUCAUACCCAAGAAAUUAAUACUCGGAUAUAAGAAGACCAAACGAAAGAGGAGCAAUCAUCGAAUGUACACACACACAUGUAGCAUAUCUAACAGGUAGCCCGACAGCAGCACCACCACCACACCCAAACGAAGGGGAGUAGAACGUAAAGGGAAGCUGUAUCGAUUGGAGGCUUUGCUGGGUAACCACCGGCAGCUUCCGUUGGUCCUGCACUCUCCUCCAAAUCUCGCCAUUGGAAAGCCAACGAAUUUUACACCACGUGUUCCAUCGACCAUGUCCAAAGGUCCCGCUUGCUCGAGCUGCCAUGAAUAGACCCGAGUCUCGACUCGACUAACAGAUUUCGUGAUUCCUGUAAUUAAGUUAAUCGAAUCGUCUCUGCAUACAUGUCGGUCUGGCUUAAUAUACAAUCCCGCCACGACCAUUCUAACUAUUGGAGUUUAAAGUAGUACAUCAUGAAUUUCUAAAAGCGUGUACGUUAGAAUAUAUUUUAAUUCUCUUCGGGAUUUGAAUCGGGAUUUGACGAUCAUUCGUUGAUUGCUUCUAAAAUCGAAUUCAUGAUUGAAGAUAUCGAAUUCAAUUUCAGAUUUUUUAUAAUAUUUUAUAAUCAUUAAAAAUGUGCAGAUUUCAACAUAAUUUCUAUUUAAAUAGAAAAAUAAUUAUAUGUUACAUAUAUAUAUAUAUAUAUAUUAUUGGAAGUACAAGUAAAGUUGUACGCGCAAAUCACCAUGCUCAUCACUCGAAUCAUGUGACAAUCAAUUGCCACUAAACGAGUAAUACCGCUGUGAAUUCGAAAUUGGAUCGAAAAGCAACUCUUCAUUAUAUAGAGAAUUUUCGAGGUUAAUGAACGUUACAAAUGCAUCAGCCAACGUUAAGACGAAAAAGAUGAACCGCAAAUUGUGGUUCGAAUCAACCGACUAAAAUGGAACUAGCAGCUAUCGUGAUAGUAAUUAAAUUCAAUUCCAUUGGUUAAAUAGUUGCAAAUGAGAAAAUACCAUUGUCUAUCCGAUUCAAAUGUGUUGUAUGCGAUUUGGUAUAUAUAGGAAGAAAAUUCAUUCAAUUCACACUAACAGUCGGUGCACGAGCACAAAUGCUAUUCAAUAUGGCCGUACGUGAUUGGAACGUGAAUGUUGAGGUUAGUUUGAAAACAUUGUUGAAUGUGGAAUGUUCGACUGCAAGUAUCCCAAAAAAAAAGUAAAAGGAUAAUUCUUCAAUGUAAAAUAAUUAAUAUGGAUCGAUUUAAGAUCAUUUACGAUAAUUUCAAGUUUAAAUUUAAUAUUAAUAUAUUAUUAGUAUGCAGAUAUUUAUACAUGAUAUUUAUGAAAAAUUUAAAUAUAAAAAGAAAAAUCUAUAAAAUACAAAAAUAAACGUUUUAAAAAAAUAAAUUUUUAUUUAAUUUUAUUCUAUUUUGGAUUUGCAUAA